UUAUGAUUUGAUGAACAACCUAUGUAUUGUUGAUGAACAUACAUGCUAUUUAUUUAUUUCCAUCCGCGUCUACUCGUUCUUCUUGCCUCUGCGUAUUCUGGUUCCAUUUUCUCCUUUGAAUCCGCCGCUGCUUGUGCAAUCUGAUGAUGAACUUUUUUUUUAAUGGUUGAGUAUAUUGCUAAAUUUAUUGCUUUAAUCAUUAGGUGCUGUGUUAAGGAAGGAACAAAAUUUUUCUGCAACCCAGCAUGUUUAAGGAGAGUCGCAAGCUUAUGCUAGGUCCAUACGUCUUUGUUGUAUGCUAUAAUUGCUAGUGCUUCCUCUAAUGAACUUGUAUUCUAUAGUUGGAAAAUAAUUAAUGUUUUUCAUAUGUAAGGCUAUGUUCACACUGCAGGAGUGACUAUUGUUCAUCAAUUCUGCCAUCUUGGCUCUUUCUCUUUUCUUAGUGGUGGUUCUGUGGUUUCACAAGAUGUUCAAAAGUACACAAUGGUAGCCGGAGAAAGAGUGGAGCUUCGGGGUCUAAAUUUAGUGGGCCUGACUCGACGUGGAUUCAGCACUGCAGAGGUUAUACUAACAAAAAUUUUAAAAUUACUCGUCUUCGAUUGUUUUUCAUUGCAACUAAACUUCUCUCUUGUUUAAUUAUCCAGAUCAGGAACCUUAAAGCAGCCUAUCGGAAGAUAUUCAUGCGUGCUGAUGCAAAUGUCGGGUCAUUCGAGGACAGGCUUGCCGAAGUGGUAUUUCUCUGUUUUGCUUUAUUGCUUUCAGGUAGCCAUGAUUUGUAGUAACUUAGCACUGUCACAUUAUAGAUAUAAUUGCGCUGGUGUGGUUAACCACCUCCUUCCCCCGGUGGCACACGCAAAAGAAAAAAAAAAAAAGAAAAGGGAAAGAAAACUGCAUGUUGCCUUUUGUCUGAUAUAAAUUUCUAACCUAAGGUUGUUAAUAAAUAGAUCUCUUUUAUUUCACAAGAUAUAUAUUUUUAGUGAGAAUAUGAAAGUAAAAGCAUUAACAUUGUAUUGUGGCAUUUUUUCCGUAUGGUUUGCCACAUGGAUCAUGAUUGUUAAAAAAUAUUAAAUAGAAGAAAGAUACUUUCAAAAACUUCAGGGUGUUAUGCUGUG